UCUAGGGCAUGAAUCUGUUUUAAGUUUAAUUUUUACCUAGCUAAUUGAAAUCCGUUGAAAAGGAAAAUUUUGUGACUGACAAUUUGGAAACUAUUGGUGAAAAUAGCCACUUUUCAUACUCUGCUAAAAUAUUGGAAGCUAAAUUUGGAACUUAAACCUAUGUGAUCAUGAGAUUAGAAGGCCUAAUUUUUGUGUUUUUGAUGAUCUUAAGGUGGUUUGAUUAGUGUUUCAAUGAAAUUCAGCUAUUGUUUGCAGCUUACAAUUUGUGCUCGAGUAUAAAUUCAUAAUAAAUAUAUAUGCAGAUACUAAUGAAAAUAUUUAUGACGAAAUUAAAAUCAGUGUCCCCUGACUGAAAAAAAAAAUUUAAGUUCGAUAACUUGCCUGAAUUUACUUGAGUUUAGCGAGCAAUAGUGUAAUUUGCUCCUUUGCAAAAUAUGUGUCAAAUACCAGUGUACUUUUACUGCAGGGUUUUCUGGACAGCAGGCCAAUGUAAUGUAGUGAAGCUGCAAAUGGUCCUUUCAUAAUCUAAGUUAAAACGUUAGCCAUAUGAUAUGCUAUUUGCAGAGCUUGAGAAUUGUUUGAAGAAAAGGAUGGUGAUUUCGAACAGUUAUUCUAUAUUUGUUUGCUUUUGCGUUGCUUCCGUGCUAUUAGGUGGAUUCUUCCAUUAAUGUCGACGUCAGUUUUCGUCGGUUGCUUCACAAUAUCUGCAUGCCAUCUAGGUCUCAUCCAGAAAGCAAGCCCUAGAGCUUGGAGAAGGUGGAGAAGAGCU